rnacentral:rRNA from 1 species
AACGAACGCUGGCGGCAUGCCUAACACAUGCAAGUCGAACGAGACCUUCGGGUCUAGUGGCGCACGGGUGCGUAACGCGUGGGAAUCUGCCCUUCGGUUCGGAAUAACACAGAGAAAUUUGUGCUAAUACCGGAUGAUGACGUAAGUCCAAAGAUUUAUCGCCGAAGGAUGAGCCCGCGUAGGAUUAGCUUGUUGGUGGGGUAAUGGCCCACCAAGGCGACGAUCCUUAGCUGGUCUGAGAGGAUGAUCAGCCACACUGGGACUGAGACACGGCCCAGACUCCGACGGGAGGCAGCAGUGGGGAAUAUUGGACAAUGGGCGAAAGCCUGAUCCAGCAAUGCCGCGUGAGUGAUGAAGGCCUUAGGGUUGUAAAGCUCUUUUACCAGGGAUGAUAAUGACAGUACCUGGAGAAUAAGCUCCGGCUAACUCCGUGCCAGCCGCCGCAGAACAC